UUGAUCAGAAAUGAAAUCAUAUUAUCUGAAUUAUUAUUAAGGUCACAUAUAGUGAUAAAGAAUAUUUUAAAUUUCCAUCUAUAGCUAUAGCUUGAAAAAUGCUUCCUUUCGCAAAAUUUCUCAAACUUUUCCAUAAGUACCUUUCAUCCAAUUAAAGUAAAUAUAUUUUUAUUGGUUUGACAACAUAAGCUAACCAACUCUAACAAGUGUCUCACCAAACUUUGUAUUUUAUUUAAACAUUUAUACAACAUUUGCAUUUUACUAUCAAUCAUAUGCUUGUCUAUUUUAAUAUGAAUUUUGUGUUACCCCUUCACUAUAACCACUUGCUUAUAUAUAACUUCAAGUCCCUUGCCUCUCUUUUAUUCUUUGUUCUAUGCUGUGGAAUCCCAGUUCAUUAAAUCUAACUUUUGUUUUACUCCUGGCCUGCAUCUGAAAAAGGCUGGAGAAGGAAGGAAGGAAGGAAGGAAGGAAGGAAGGAAGGACGGACGGACAGGCAAGGAAAGAAAAGGAAGAAAGGGAGGGAGGAAAGGAGGAAGAAAGACAAACUCAUGACCAUGCUGACUGAUCUCAUUUUAAAUUUGUAAUUCCUAAUCUCAAUUGGACUACUCCUGCAAGCCUCCAGUCAUUCUUCCAUUAUCCUAGAGAAUAAUUUCACAUCCUUUGCCGCAGACCUCUAGUAUAUCUCAGUAUUAAUGUUUGCAAUUAAAACAGUGGCCCAGAGUCAUAAGGUAAACAUCCUACCUAGGGCUGGUUGAUUUAAUACUUGACCCCCAUUGUGCCCAACACUGACCCAAAUCCAUAUGGAAAACUGACGCUCCUUUUUCAAGACAUUUUACUAGCAUAUGUCGGAAUAUUGUUGAACUAGCUAUGCAUAUCUAGGAUGAAUGUGAGCUUAAUGUACUUUUCAGAGUUGUGUAAUGCAUAGUUUUCAUAACUACAGUAACAGCUUAAGCUACAUUAAUAGGAUAUGAUCUUUUUUUUAUGUAAGUCAAGAUAUAAAAUAAAAUAGAAGUAUAGCUGUAAGAAAAAAAAUUUAUAAAUUCUAAACAAUUGAAGGAGAAAAACAAUUCAAAUAUUUGUCUCAUUGGACAGGGGAGGAAAGAAAGGGAAGAAAGGAAGAAGUAAGAUUAUUCUAAAGAUUUUCUCUUGAUUAAGGGCAGAGUGAAGAAUUAUAUGAGUUGGUGGGAAAACUAUGCAAUUAUAAUUGACAGCACAUUUACAAAUUAUAGUAGAAUAUUAUGUUUGCAAUUAAAACAGUAAGGAAAGCAAAAGCAAUUACUAAUAAAAGGAACAAUUGUAUGAACACUUCUCAAAUAAACAAGGGAAGAAAUGAAACUAAUGGCAAUUUGACUAAACCACAAAAAAUGGGGAAUUGCAAAAGCAGGAAUCAACAAUGUAAAAUUAGUUUCAAAAUACAGAGGUUAUCAAGUUGGAUUAAAAACUAAGAUAAAUAUGGUUUUAUAGUAGACACUUAAAAAACAAAGUGAUAAAUCAAGAUUUAAUGACAGAUUACUAUAAAAAUAGUCCCACUUGUCUAAGCAUGCUAUCUCUGUACUUUUUGUUGUAUAACUUUGCAUCUCCUCCCACCAAGAAGUAGAGUCUCUUAUCUCAGUCCUUGAAUCUGAACUAUUCUUGGGACUUGCUUUGGUUGAUUGAAAUGGAAAGAAGUGACAGUGUGCCAAUCUUGCAUAUUUCUGAAUAUCUCUUGGAAGCCUGCCACCAUCCUGAAAAAUUUCAGACUAAUGUGCUGGAGGGUGAUAGACCACAAGGAAGGAAGCCCAGUUGUCCCAUCUGAGGCCAUUCUAGAUGAAACUAUAGCCAGCUAACUCCCAAACAUUUGACAAAACCCAUAAUAGAUGAACAGUUUUGAGUAGAGAAAACAGUGUGCAAAAGAUAUGAACCAUCUAUUCUGCCUCAGCUAACAGCAACUCAGUCAAUACGGAGGAACUACCCAGUUGUCUCAUUAAAAAGAAUAUGUAGAUUAUGAUCUUAAGCUAAUAAAUUUUGGAGUGUUUUGCCACUGUUUCUGGGUGGUUUGUAUCAAUAGCUAAUCAUUACAUACUGAUAAAUAAAGGAGAUAAUGCACAAAUAUUAUAUAAAAGAAACAGGAUUGGUAAUAUUAAUACUGAACAGAUGAAAAUUAAAUUUGAAAAUAGUAAAUAGGAUAAAGAGUAAUUUGAUGAUCAAAGGCAUAAUUAAGAAGAUAUUGUAAGUAAAAAUGCAGAAAUUUCAAAGACCACUUUCUCUAAUAUUAAGCCAAUAAAACUAGAAGUAUGUUUUAAUUGCCAAAAAACUUACCAACUUGAUAAAAAUUAAUAAACAACUCCUGAGUAAUGUUUAGGUCACAGAGCAAAUAAAAAUAAAAAUCCUAAACCAUCUAUUAAGAAAUAAAAAAGGGGGGCACCUGAGUGGUUCAGUGGGUUAAGCCUCUGCCUUCAGCUCAGGUCAUGAACCCAGGGUGCUGGGAUGGAGUCCCGCAUCUGGCUCUCUGCUCAGCGGGGAGCCUGCUUCCUCCUCUCUGCCUGCCUCUCUGCCUCCUUGUGAUCUCUCUCUGUCCAAUAAAUAAAUAAAUAAAAAUCUUAAAAAAAAAAAAAAGAAAGAAAAAAGGAUAAUACUUUGCAACAAAUCUAAGCCCUAAGCAAAAGCAGUAUUUAGAAGAUAAAAGGAUAAGAAAGAUAGUCUUAAUUGCCACAAUUAUUAAAGAAGAACAAAAGUUCAUGAAAUCAGUAUCCUUCUUGUUAAGGAUUAGGGGAAAAAACUAAAUAAAUCAAAGGAAAUCAGAAAGAAUGAAUUAAUAAAUGUUCAAAUUAAUGAAUAAAAAAUAAAUUAAAAUAUCUGCAUAUGAGAAUUUAAUAUUGACAAACUAAUUCAAUACACUACAGAAAGAAUGACACCAUUAGUAAAUGCUGUUGUCACACAGACUUUCCAUCUGGAAGAAAAAAAUAUAUAGAUCAUUCUCUUAUCCAAUAUAGAAACAAUUCCACUGGAAUUAAAGACAAAAAAAAAUCUUAGAAAGCUAUAUAUACAAACGUAUGGUAUGCUGCUUAGUUAAGACUGAAUAUAUAAAAUCUGUAAAACGUGGAAAUAGGAUGAUACAAAGAUUUUAAAACUUUAUAUAAUGAAAUAUAUAAAAACUUUAAUAGAAAUAAAAUGGGUCUAGAAGAAUAUUUAAUUCAGAUCAUAAAUAAAGGAGUUAAUAUCUUUAUGACACUAAAUGAUCAGAAAUAAAGAAAAAUAGUCCAAAAGAAAAAAAAUGGGCAAAACUGCAAAUAGAUAUUUCAUAUCUAAGUCCAAAUGGUUAACAGAAAUAAAACAAGAUGUUCAAAUUCACUAGUAGUCAUGGAAAUGAAAAUUAAAUUAACAAUGAGAAAUGAUUUUACUCUCAUUAGGCUGGCAUAGAAUUUGAAAAGAGCUUUAAAAUUUAUUGCUGGUAGGAAUAUAGGGAAAGGGAUUGUCUUUUAUAUUGAGGGUAGAAAAAUAAAUUGUUUAGCCUUUUGAGGAAUCAGUAUUUCAACUUCCAUAAAGUUAAAACUAGAUAUACCAUUCACUCUAGCAAUUUUACUUCUAGCAGUAUAUCCUAAAGGAAUAAAAACCAUGUAAGGAUAUGGAUAGAAAUAUGUUUAUUGAGACUUUGAAUGUGAGGGCAAAAACUAGAAACCAAAUAGAUAUUCAUCAAUUGCUGAAUAAAAUAUGGCACAUCAUGAACUAUUACAGAGCCAUUUAAAAAGAAUGGGUUAGAGCUAUACAAGACAAUUAAGACAUAUUUCUGUUAGGAAGUUUGGAAGAGAAAAAGAACAAAUUUUGGAAGGAGUUAAUAAUAUGAUUAUAACGGGUAAGUAAAACCUAAUUUCAAAACCCAUAUUUAUCUAUUUGAACAUAUAGGCUUGUAUACCACUAUACAAUUCUGAACAGUUUGCAUUAAGGAAUGUAUGAAAAAGACAAAAGGGUAGGAGAAGGGAUGAGGAAAAGCCCAGCAUCCAUUCAACUCCAGAACCCUUCAUGCCUAUCCCAAGUUAAUGUAAAUAGCACUCCUGGAAUUGUAUGUGGCAGUUAUACAGUUGUAUAUGAAAGCUCUGAUAUCCACUGACAGAAGUUCUGUGUAGAGAAAAAUUAAUGAACCUUGUAUAUACAUGCAUUUGAUAAGCAAAGUUGCCUAAGUUUUCCAACAGCCUGCCCUAGUGUAUGGACUACAUGUUUGUGUUCCCCCUAACUCCCAAAUUCAUAUGGUGAAACCAUUACCUACAAUAGUAUUUGGAGAUGGGGACUUUUGAAGGUAAUUAUGAUUAAAUGAGGUAAUAAUGGUGAGGUUCUCUGGACGGGAUUAGUGCCCUUAUAAGGAGAGACAUCAAAGAACUUGAUCAUUCUCUCUUCACCACGAGAGGACAUAGCAGAGCAGACCAUCUGCAAGCCAGGAAGAGAGCUCUCAACAAAACCCAACCAAGCUGAUAUCCUGAUCCCAGAUUUCCAACCUUUGAAACUGUGAGAAAAAAAUAAUUCUAUUGUUUAAUCCACCCAGUCUAUGGUAUUUUUGUUAUGGUAGCUGAAGAACACUGAUGCACAUAGACUAGAGAAGGUUGAAGGUGGAAAUGAACACACCACAUUUUCUUUCCAAUUCCUGCUUUAAGAUAUACUUAACAUUAGUCAUAAUGCAUUGUGGAAAAAUACUUCAGAAUUUUAACACUUCCAUCAAAGAGCUCAUAAAGAGUCCAGGAGGAGCAACACGAAGACAAAAAUUAACUGUCAUAUAAGGAUAUCAAAAAUGCACCAACAGUUGCAGUAAAUAAAAGAUCUUCCACCAUGUGCAAUCCACGGGGAGAACACCAUUGGAGACCGAGGGAGCAGCCUGACCUUUCCCAGCACUUUCACUCUGUGUAGGAAGGAAGGAUUUCAUAGGAGUAGUUUCAGUAUUAACACAAAACUCCUCAUCUUGAAAUAUCUGGCCCUCUCAAGGUGCCACCCAGAGACUGUUCCAGAAAUCUACAGGAUGUCAGGAAACAUAUAUUACUGAGAAGGACUAUUGAAGAAUGAGAAAUCCUCUACUGAAGACACAGGAUCAAUAGGAAUUAUGUACUGAGAACCAAGGAAAAUAGAGUCUUGGACUGAGAGAUUGUGGCUGAUACCAAAAAGUUAAAAUAAGACCUCAAGGAUGGGCAAAUAUAGACAUGUUCAGUCUGUUUAGAGUAGACCACACAAUCAUGCCUGUGUACAUCAGUCAGUCUACUAGAUGAAGGGAAAUUAAGUGUUCAGAUUCCAUUUUUUUCUGCUUCUUUUCCCACACUGGAUGAGCCAAACUUUUCCCAAAGUAUGUACAACCUGGAUUAAAUGUCGCUUUUUCUUCCAUAACUGAUGGUUCAAAUGGAAAGGCCAUCGUCAAUCAUUGAACUCUAACCAGUCUGGUUCUGAGACAUAUUAAGUCCUUUGACCCCUGGGAGUGACCACACAUGCAGGAAUCACUGCCUCUGGAAUAAUUAGCAAUGCAGAGAUGGGGUGUUAAGAAUAUCCCUAAUUGCACUGACCAAAACCAGGUUAUCAGAAGGACAAUGGCAACUUAGAGUUCUCCAAAUUGGAGAAUUUGUUUCUGUUUUUCAGACUUUUUCUAAUAUGACAAAAUCAUAAUGCCUAGAAAGCCUAACAUAGAAAAUAAAAAUAAAAUAUGCUAUAGUUUAUUUAGCAUGACUAACCAUAUCAAUGAUAUUUCCAUGCCUUGUAAAAUCUGGCAGAAUCGUUCAUAUGUGAAAGUCUUUAUAGGUAAUGCCUAUGCCUGUACAAUUGCACUUUCUGUGUAAAGUUAAUGGAGCUCAGAUCUAUUGAACCCAUAAGGAAAAUAAUAAAUGUAAACUGGCAACCAUGUACCAAAUAACAUGCUGGCUGUUUUACAUAAAAUUAAUAUAUGCUCUAAAGUAACAGCAAAAUUACAUAUACCUUAGGAUGCUAGGAUAUUUUAAUUAUAUUAUCUGUUAAAGAGAUUGAGAUGAGUACACUUAUUGACAAGUUGUAUUUAUAUUCUAAUAAUGUUUUCUAAAACUAAAGUUGUAUAAAUAAGAAAAAGGAAAUUUAAUGAGAGAAACUAUAUAUUUAGUGCAUGUAUUAUAAGAAUAUAAAAUAUACAUUAGUUUUCCAAGCAGGAUGUGAUUUAAUCACCUUUUUAAAAAUCACCUUUUGUCUUCCUAUAAAUUGAAUGUCCUCUCCUGACAUUUUAAUACACUUAUAUCUCCAGCCUCUUUGAAUGUUCUGCAUUCAUUUCUAGGUCAGGCGUUCCCAUCUUCAAAGCAUUUAUUCUGUCAUCAUUAAAUGUGGAAUUAAAAGAGGUUUUAGUUACUUCAAUAAUAUUCAAUCUGAUCAUUUACAGUGAAAUACAGCUUAAAACUUAUAAGCAAGUCAGUAAAUUAAAAGAAAUGACAAGACAAAGUUAAGGUGAUUAACAUAUGUGCUUUAAUUUUCCAGAAAUCAACAAAAUCAAUAAAUAAUUUUGGCAAGGACAUAAAUAGCCUGAAUCAUUUAGGUGUGAUCUAAAAUUAUAGAAAUAAUGUGAAUAUUAUUUUUUCUUAGGAAAAAAAAUUAACUGGUAUUUUCCUGAAUGAGCUAUGGUAAGGAAAAGUUGGUAUUUCUCAUUGAUUGAGCAAAGAACACUUUAGAAGGAGUGUGCACGUUUUUCAGUUUGAUUUUUGUGGCAACCUCUUAAAAUGGCCUGGUGAAAUUUAUGAAAGCCUUUUAAUGUUAUCUUGUUAGAAAAGGCCUUUCUGAGAAGUAACCAAAGAAAAAGUUCUUUAUUUAAAGGAAACAGAUUCUGUCAUGCUUUACUUCAUGUAUGUUUUCCAUGCUAAAAGAUAUAUGCACUUUAAAUGUUGGUAUUUCAAAUGAAAGUUACAUCAGAUAUAAAAGAAAUCCCCCAAGAAGCAUAAGAAAUGUGGGGCAGUAACUGUCAAGCAUUGUGAAGUAGGAGACUCCCAUAAACUAAGCAUAGGAUCCAAGAGAUUUAGUUCAGAAAGUGUCCAUUCUGCUCUCCUUUUUCUCCCUCAUUUUACAGUCAGUCUUUUUCCCUCCCAAAGGAAAAAUACAAUGAUUGAAUUUUAAUUUUUAAUUUCUUAGAGAUGAUUCUCAUUAGUUACUGGACUUGAUGCUGUGAUUUCAAACAUGAGGAUCAGGGUACAUGUCCUGAAAAGAUUACAGACUAAUAAAAGAACCUGAGACUCAGGAUUAAUUACAAGUCACUGUCACUGAUGGCAAGUCAAAUAAAAUUUCCAAUAUACAGUUUUACCUACAUAUAUUGUAAAUUUGUCUGAUUCAAUCUAGGAUUAUACCAAAAAGAAUGAUUAAAAUACCACAGAAUAAAAGAAGGAGAAGUAAAAUAAAACUAAACCAUUGUAGGCCCCCAAACUGAUGUGAAUAUGUAGUGUAAUAGAAUGACAGAUAAAACUAUGAAUCUUAGAAUUUGGAAGGAUAGAAAUUUAAACAUCUUUUAUAAGUUUAUUAGAAUAUUUAAAUAAUAAGAUUCUGGUAGUUUAAAAGAUUAAUCUAGAAAUUCUAGGGUCUUCCUUCAAUACAUACACAUAUAAAUAAGUGUGUGUGCACUCAUUUGAACUUUUUUUUUUCCUUUUAAAUCCCUGUGCUAUAUCCAUGUAGAGAUGCCAGUUCAGUGUUGCCUAAGCAGAAUAAAGAUAGUAAUAAACCAGUACCCCUAGAACUUGCUAAUGACUAUUAAAUAUGAAUUUAAUAAUUUUUUUAAAAAAUGGAUUUUGAUACUCUAGUUUCUCUUCAGAUUGCAUAAAUCUUUUGCUUUUAAAAAUGGAUUUCGGGGGUGCGUGGGUGGCUCAGUGGGUUGAGUCUCUGCCUUAGGCUCAGGUCAUGAUCUCAGGGUCCUGGGAUCGAGCGCCGCAUCAGCCUCUCUGCUUAGAAGCAAGACUGCUUCCCCACCUCACCCCUUUCUGCCUGCCUCUCAUCCUGCUUGUGAUCUCGCUCUCUCCCUGUCAAAUGAAUAAAUAAAAUCUUUAAAAAUGGAUUCCUGCUUAUUAAGCAAAAUCCUCCUGAAAAUGUAUCUCCACCACAGAAAUGAGAAUGAUUAUACAAUUAAUUUAACCAGAUUCUAAUGUGCAAUGUUCACUGGAGUAUUUUUUUAAUACUCGAAACAUUUUUCAUCAGCCAUCAACUCAAAAAAUAGAAGUAAAAGUAGCUACUAUCCAGGUCAAAGUAUAUUUUUAAUAUACAAAAUUUAGUACUUAAUACUCAAAUAUAGAGGAAUCUUCUAGUUCUCUUUUUCUUAUUGAUUUCUGACAUAGAACAUAUUCUGUAUGAAUUUAAUCUUUUGAAAUGUGUUAAAAUUUGCUUGAAGGCCUUUCAUAUGGUCACUUAAAAAAUUGUUCCAUGUGUGUUGUAAUAGAUUAUGCAUUGUACAGAUGUUGGGUGGGUGCUCUAUAAAUAUUCACUAGAUCAAGUGUAGUAAUUACGUUGUUCAAAUUUUCUAUAUCCUUGUUUUUUACUUUGUUGUUCACCCAACUUCUAAAAGAGAUGUUUGGGAAAAAUCUCAUACUAUGACUGUGGAUUUUCGUACUUCUCCAUUUGAAUUUGUCAGUUUUUGUCUAUGUAUUUGGAAAUUUAGAGUAAUUAUAUCUUCUUGGUGAAUUGAACCUAUUAUCAUUAUGAUCUAAUCUCACUUCUAUUAAAUGAUGCCUUUUGCUUUAAAGCCUGAUUUAUCUAAUAUAAGAACCACCUUUCUUUUAGUUUUUACAUGGUGUAUAGUACUUGAUUUUCUUCUUUCAACAUCACAGAAUCCUUAUAUUUUUAUGUGCCUCUUGUAAAAAAAAUUGUUUGUGUUUCCUAAAAUCUCAAAAUCUUUAUUUCAACUGAAGUAGUUUGCCCGCCUACAUGAAAUAUAACAAUGGUCUAUUUGAGUUUAAAUAAACAUCUGGCUAUGUAUUUACUCUUUA